rnacentral:rRNA from 1 species
AAGCGGUGGAGCAUGUGGUUAAUUCGAAGCAACGUCGAAGAACCUUACCAGGUCUUGACAUCCCGAUGCUAUUCUAGAGAUAGAAAGUACUUCGGUACAUCGGGUGACAGGUGGUGCAUGGUUGUCGUCAGCUCGUGUCGUGAGAUGUUGGGUUAAGUCCCGCAACGAGCGCAACCCCUAUUGUUAGUUGCCAUCAUUCAGUUGGGCACUCUAGCGAGACUGCCGGUAAUAAACCGGAGGAAGUGGGGAUGACGUCAAAUCAUCAUGCCCCUUAUGACCUGGGCUACACACGUGCUACAAUGGUUGGUACAACGAGUUGCGAGUCGGUGACGGCGAGCUAAUCUCUUAAAGCCAAUCUCAGUUCGGAUUGUAGGCUGCAACUCGCCUACAUGAAGUCGGAAUCGCUAGUAAUCGCGGAUCAGCACGCCGCGGUGAAUACGUUCCCGGGCCUU